GACGAACGCUGGCGGCGUGCCUAAUACAUGCAAGUCGAGCGAAGCGGCGGAUGGGUGAGUCACGCGUGGGUAACCUGCCCUUAAGUCUGGGCUACCAUUUGGAAACAGAUUCUAAUCCCGGAUACUAAAGGAUGGACCUGCGAUGCAUUAGCUAGUUGGUAAGGUACCGGCUUACCAAGGAGAUGAUGCAUGGCGGACAUGAGGGACGGAACGUCAACAUUGGAAAUGAGACACGGCCCAAAGGCCGAAGGGAGGCAGCAGUAAGGAAUCUUCCACAAUGGACGAAAGGCGGAUGGAGCAACGCCGCGUGAGUGAAGGAGGUUUUCGGAUCGUAAAGCUCUAUUGUUGGUGAAGCGGAAAUCAACCAGAAAGUCACGGCUAACAACGUGCAAGCAGCGCGGUAAUUC
rnacentral:rRNA from 1 species